rnacentral:rRNA from 1 species
GGACCCGCACAAGUAGUGGAGCAUGUGGUUUAAUUCGAAGAUACGCGCAGAACCUUACCAACACUUGACAUGUUCGUCGCGACUCUAAGAGAUUAGAGUUUUCGGUUCGGCCGGACGAAACACAGGUGCUGCAUGGCUGUCGUCAGCUCGUGUCGUGAGAUGUUGGGUUAAGUCCCGCAACGAGCGCAACCCUCACUUUUAGUUGCCAUCAUUAAGUUGGGCACUCUGAAAGAACUGCCAGUGAUAAGCUGGAGGAAGGUGGGGAUGACGUCAAGUCCUCAUGGCCCUUACGUGUUGGGCUACACACGUGCUACAAUGGUAUCUACAACAGGAAGCAAAACGGCAACGUUAAG